AGAGUUUGAUCCUAGCUCAGGAUGAACGCUGGCGACGUGGAUAAGGCAUGCAAGUCGAGCGGUUUUUUAUUGUUUCGCAAGAGACGAUGAAAGACAGCGGCGAAUGGGUUAGUAAUACCCUGGUACAUACCCCGAAGUGGGAAAUAGCCAGUCGAAAGAUUGGGUAAUAUCCCAUAGUUUGAUAAUCGAAUUGUGUUUGCAAAAAUUUGUAGACAGAAUUCGGUUAUCAGUAAAGACGCAAGUCGCUUCGGGAAUGGCUUAGGUCCGAUCAGCUAGUUGGUAGGGUAAAAGCCUACCAAGGCUAUGACCGGUAGGGGGGCCGAGAGGCUGUUCCCCAACAACGCAACUGAGACAUGGUGCGUACGCCUACGGGCGGCAGCAGUCGAGAAUAUUCCACAAUGGGCGAAAGCCUGAUGGAGCGACGUCGCGUGCAGGAUGAAGGUCUUCGGAUUGUAAACUGCUUUUCUAUAGGAAAAAGUCCCUCCCCACUUUUGCUUAUGAUAUCAAUCAGAAUACAACAGGUUUGUGAGAAACAAGCUUUUUUAUUCUUGAAAAAUAUCACUAGCAAAAGUGGGGAGGGAUUGAUGGUACUAUAGGAAUAAGGGGUGACUAACUACGUGCCAGCAGUAGCGGUAAUACGUAGACCCCGAGCGUUAUCCGGAUUUAUUGGGCGUAAAGAGUGCGUAGGAGGUCUGACGCGUUAACUGUAAAAUUUCACUGCUCAACAGUGAACGCGCGGUUAAAACGGUCAGACUAGAGGAUACCAGAGGUCAUUGGAACGUACGGUGUAGGGGUGAAAUCCGUUGAUAUCGUACGGAACACCAAAGGCGAAGGCAAAUGACUGGGGUAUUCCUGACUCUGAGGCACGAAAGCGUGGGGAGCAAAAAGGAUUAGAUACCCUUGUAGUCCACGCUGUAAACGAUGUUCACUUGCUAUUUCGAGUAUCGACCCUCGAAGUGGCGGAGCUAACGCGUUAAGUGAACCGCCUGGGAAGUACGGCCGCAAGGCUAAAACUCAAAGGAAUAGACGGGGACUCGCACAAGCGGUGGAGCAUGAGGUUUAAUUCGAUAACAAACGAGGAACCUUACCAGGGCUUGAAAUUCUAACGAACUCCGGUGGAAACGCCGGGGGUCUCUCAAGGACGUUAGAACAGGUGCUGCAUGGUUGAAAUAUCGACCCGCUCCAAAGUAAUUUGGAGUGCAACCCUUCGAUAUAACUCGAUCCGCCAACUGGCGGAUGAGUAUGUUGAAGGCAAAACCGGCUCAUAACGGUGAAACCCUAAUGUAUUCAUGAUAAAAUGAGUGCAUGGGCAAUACCGUGGGAAGUGCGAACACUGAUUUUUGGAAUCUUAAAACAAAAGACGACGCUUACAUAAUUGGUUUAUGGUGUGCGGAUGGAUACUGUUGGACAAGCAGUAUUGGUAUUAGCAAUACUGAUUCUGAUUUGAUAGAAAAAUUUCGGGAAUUUUUCCUGAGAUUUUUUUCGGCUGAUAGAUUAAAAUUAAUGAUUUAUCAUCCUGAUAAAUUUAAAAGACGCACCAAAGCCUACCAUUUGUAUGUAAAUAGUCGGCCUUUAUUAAGAAGGUUCAAGGAAUUCAAAGAUAAUGCGACAAAAUUCAUCAAUG
rnacentral:rRNA from 1 species